UACGGAGGGGGCUAGCGUUGUUCGGAAUUACUGGGCGUAAAGCGCGCGUAGGCGGACCUGCAAGUCGGGGGUGAAAGCCCGAGGCUCAACCUCGGAACUGCCUUCGAUACUGCGGGUCUCGAGUCCGGGAGUGGUGAGUGGAAUUCCUAGUGUAGAGGUGAAAUUCGUAGAUAUUAGGAAGAACACCAGUGGCGAAGGCGGCUCACUGGCCCGGUACUGACGCUGAGGCGCGAAAGCGUGGGGAGCAAACAGG
rnacentral:rRNA from 1 species